AACAAUACAAUUAAGGGGGAGGGCACAACAAUAUACAUACACUCACAGGAUUCCAUCAUCUUUCAUUUUUUGAUGACAAUAUACACACACACGUAAGAUGUACAGAGCUUCCUCACCAUUUCGUCUCUCAAUACAUACAAACACCUCAUACACGCACAUACCCCUCAAUUCACCAAUACACAGUUCCCACAGCCCACAUUACACAGAUUACACUCGCAGUAAUUCUCACACACACACACUGAAAAUUGGAGGGAGAUUGAGAGUGAAGAGAGAGAUUGAGAAAGACAGUGAUUGGAAAUCUGAGAGGAGAGAGGAAACAGACGUCGAAUGACACUAUUUCGGCGAGAACCCGCCAAAAAAGGUUGAAAACUCGGCUGAUUCACCAAUUCCCAUCGCUACUAGAGCUCACUGAAGCUCCGGCAAAAUAAUAACAACAAAACAUCCCUCUCCCGUCCCCGUCUUCGGUAAAUUCAUCGGAGAACAAAUUCCAAAUCUACCUGACCAGUCCCAGAUUCGGCGGAAAUUGUCAAAAAAUGAACGAAGCAGUAGUGGGGUGUGCAAAUUCGAGUACGGGUCUUUUGUUAUUUUCUUGAUUUUGAUCUAGGUUGGCGAAAAACAGAGAAAAAGGGUAUAUCGUGGUCGGGUUUAUUAGUGGAGGUUUGAAUUGAGGUUUUUCGGGCGCGCUUCUAUCUUCGAUAUAUCAAAAUCGACAAUUGAGGUCCAAUUCUUCUCUUUUCCUCUUUUUAUUUCAUUGUUUAUUAUAUUUGGUGUGUUGGAUUAAAUAUCAUGUGUUGUUUGAUCCUUGUUGGUGAUGAAUAGUGUCUUGGUAUCGAUUGAUUGUUGAUUUCGUUGAUUAUGUAUGAUGCGAUGAAACGAUAUAAUCACUUGAGAUUUGAAAUCUGUAAUUUGAGUAUAGAAUUGGGGGUGGGAAUUAAAAGAUUAAUAAGGUGCAUGUUGAUUAUUUUUAUUCAUUGAUGGAUAUGGUUGAAAUCGAUAGUAUCAUAUUUUAGAUCGUUUAAUGGGUAGACAAAUACUAAGUUUGGGUAGGCAAAUUAUAGAAAUAGAAGAUGAUGAUUUGUUGAAUGUGUGGAUGUCUUGUUGAAUGGUUCUUUCUAUUUUCAACGCACAAAAUUGAAAAAAUGUAUUCAUUUGACCGGAGAAUGCACCGAGGUCUUAUGUACUUAUUCAUUGGGGAAUACCUCAAAGCAUCUUGUACUCGAAGAGCAUUCGUGAUGAAGGUCCGAGGCAUUGGGUAAAGCAUAGAAAUGUAGUUUAGGAUUAGUAAGUAGGUUUACAUUUCCAUAUUUUUCUAUUUUUGGAACUGUAAUAAUUGGGAUGAAAACUAUAUACUUGUUUUGUUUUGUUUAUUUGAUUGAUUGUUUUGUGUGUUUUAUGUAAUUUAUACAUUCAUAGUGUCAAAUUAGCCGAUAUGCUCCACCAAACGAAUAUGGUCGAACCACGGGAUCGAGGGGUGCCUAACACCUUUCCCUCGGUCAACAGAAUUCCUUAAUCGAAAUCUCUAUUCGUGGAUCAGUUUUAAAGAGUCAAAAUCAUUUUCAAAAAGGAUAUCCAAGGGUGACUUGGCACAGCCGAUUUAUGCCAAGUGCCGACUCUGAGUUUUGAAUAUAAAAAGUUAUUUUCGAAACAAAUCUUCAUUUUGUCACUUAAUAAUAAAACCCUUUUUCAAACCUUAAAUUAAUUCUUUUUUGUUAAUAAAAGGGUGUGACUGCUCUGGCGACUCUGCUGGGGACAUUUUCAGUAGUCGAGCUUAUUUUUGAUAUUGUAUCGGCUUAGUUUAACAUUAUGAUUGUAUAGACGUUGUUUGCGAUAUUGUUUGUACACCCUCCAUCCCAAAUUAUAUGUCGCCAUUUUCUUUUCGGUCCGUCCCAAAAAGAAUGUCGCCUUUCCUUAUUAGGUAAGUUCUUAAAGACACAAUUACAAUUUUACCCUUAGUGGUCCUACUUGAUUUUAAAUACUAUUACUCAUUUUUUAUUUGUUUUUUCAAUUAAAAGUGGCCCAGCUUGAUUUUAAAUACUAUUACUAUAAUUUUGUAACUUUAACAAAGUCAACACUUAUUUCUUAAAUAUUGUGUCCGGUCAAAUAACGACAUAUAACUUGAGAUGGAGGGAGUAUUUAUUUUAUCAUUGUUAAUUGCCUACUUGCUACGUUUUUAUAGUUUUUACUCUUAUGUGUUACCGCUUUAUAUCUGACAUCAUUUGUAUAACCCGAGUCAAUUUUUUCUGCAACAAGUCUCGGAGUACACGUUGUGUACACGAACUCUAGUUGAGUCACCCUUAUUGUAGGAGGGGGACCCGUCAGAUGUAUGGAGUAGGUGGAAAGCAAAGCAACCACUAUUGACCAUAUGCUCCUUGAACGUCCUUGUCAGUGGACCCCAACGUAGGUCAGCCUUUAGAUCAUGCUUAUCUACAUCAUAUUGAGACCUAGCGGGACCUACUUGAUCCUUUGUAAGAGACUCGCCCAUAAAGCAUCUCUACGUGCUAAUUGUUGCAUCUUUGAGGGUAAUAUGAUCAUUUGAUGGACUGGUUUAGGGAAAACAUGUGUUAGAAUUAAAGGAGCGUGUGUUACGCAAGGAAAAAGAAAAGAAAAAAAAGAGUUUAGGAGUUUUUUUAGUGACCUUUAUGGCUUUUGUUUUUCACAAUUCAAAAAUUCAAAAAGACUUUUUACCUUUUGCACUCAUUUACUCAAAAAACAAAAUAUCAAAAAGAUUUUGCCUUUGUUUCUUUCUUUUAGCAAGCAUUCAUAAUUUGAAAAUUUCAAAAAAGAUUUUUUUUUUUGGAGUUAUUUUUUAUAAAGGAAAAAUUCAAAAAAAAUGAUAGAAGUUUUGUACAUUUCAUGUAACGAAAUACAAAAAGUUUUUUCUUUCAUAAUUGUUGGUGUCAAUCUUAUGUGAAGUGUCCAAUUGAACCCCCCCCCCCCCCCAAAAAAAAAAGAUUUUAUUGACAUUUUUUAUCAUCCAUCUUUGGUCAUGUCUAUCAAGUAAAGGUUCAGUUUGUUGUUUAAUCCUUAAUUAUCCAAUCUGGACGAAUUACACAUACCUGAUUCUUCUCUCUCGGGGCUGACAUACGUAGGCACCCCUUCCAGGGUUCAGUAAUCUUAUUUACAAAAACCACAAAAAGAUUUUUCUUUAAUUGUUUCAAGUUUAUUUUCGUAUGAAAUUCAAAAUUGAAACCCUAAAAAGGAUUCUUCUUUGGUAAUUAGAGGUUUCGUUUUGUAUAGAAAUCUGAAAAAAUUCAAAAAAAAUUUAUUCACUCUUCAUUUAGAGUAGGUAUCAUAUACAUCUCUAAAAGAAAACGACAAAAGAUUUUCUUUUAAUAGUUUCAAGUUUCAUUUUCGUAUGAAAUUCAAAAUUGAAAACUCAGAACGAGUUUCCUUUGGUGACCAUAAGUUUCAUUUUGUAUAGGAAGCUGAAAAAUUCAAAAAGAUUUUCGUCAAUUCUAUUGGCAAUUUGUUAUUUUCUUUUCUUCUUAAAGUUUCAAGAAAAAGAAAAAAAGAAAGAGAGUUGAUCGGUCGUUUUGUGGCCAAAUUUCAUGAACUACACACACCUGAUUUUACUCUCUCGGGAGUGAGAUAUGUAGGCGCCCUUCUUGGGUUCGGUGAUCUUUUUAAAAAAAAAAGAAAGAAAAAGAUUUUUAAAAAAGAUGUUGAACUCCAACACAUUUGUUAUCUCUUGUUCAGUUAGUUUAAGGUGGUUGGUUUGUGGCAUUUUGAUUGGUCCUCCAUAUCACACCAAGUCUAAGGGAGAGUUAGUCAUGUCCAACAAGGAUAUAGAGAGUGACAUCAUGGAUCAGACGAAGGGUAAAAAAAUGAGAGUUUAAAGGAAGAGAUUUUGAGACUAAGGUAACAAAUGAUAGAAAUACACCGAUCUUGGGCCAGUGGGUUGCCUUCCUACUAUCGUUGAUGCACCACAACAUGCCUCGAAAUUCAUGACAUGUCAGCUGCAUCCCAAUACUUCCACCACCUCUUCUCUAUCUCCUCAAUAUAAGCCUACUAUAUUCGCAACACCAUAUGUCGUCUGUGAUUUGUUGCUCAACCCUCUAUUGAGGCUUCCACAUUGGCUAUCCGUCCAAUGAUUGUGGUUUCCCAGGCCACUAGUGAACCCAUGUUCAAUACUCUUGAUAAUCAUUUCUAUACUUAUUAGCCACUUUUAAGUUAACUGGACCACCAAAAUUUCUUACCAAGAAGUCCGACAUGGCAGAAGAGCAAAUGGUUUGGAAAAUGAAGGGUAUAGAAAAUACUAUGAAAAGUUCCCUAGGACUCGUAGAUAAAGAAGAUGUUUCAUAUAAAUAUUGAGGCAUGUCUUCAAGUUUCAACCUUUUUCAAAGAUUUUAGAUAUUGAAAUUUGAAGAACAUGAUGGACAUUAGGAUUCUGUGAAACAUUUGGUACGAUACUGCAAUAAAUCAAAGGAAGCUGAAGGGAAAAAGAAGGAAGACGUACCUAUUGUCGUGCCAGGGCCAAAGCAGAGAUUGAGAGGUCCAACUCACUAAUACUGUCAGCAUCAAUCCCUAUCUUACUUAUUAGAUCCACAUACUCACCUACAACACGGUUUCUCAUUCCAAAAUCCAAGAUAUUCUACUUUACUUCCUCAAUAUCCUUUGAAAAAUGCACAAUUGUAUACUCGUCUGUUAUCUUAUCCACAAUGGCAAGCACCGAUCCCUCAACAUCAUCCUCAGCCCCCCCAUAUAUUUACCAAGGUGCCUCUAAAUCCAAGUUUCAACCAAGGCUAGAGUUUUUAAAGAGGAUGAAGGAAAGGGGUAAUUUCACUCAUAUUGGGGAAUCCUAUGCCAGUUUGUUCCAUAGAUUGAGAUAGUGGGGCUUGAUUACUCCUCUCCUUAGGUAUACACUCGACUCACAUUCAAGAAAUUUUGACCCUAAUGUAUGGUGCGAAUAUCAUUCUGAUGUCUAGGGUCAUAAUAUUAAAGAUUGUCGUAAUUUGAAAAGAGAAAUAGAAAAGAUGAUUCAAGAAAAGUGAUUGUUGCAAAAUGUUGACACCUCGAGCGUUACACAGAAUCCUUCAUCAACACAUGGUGAUGCACAGUACGUGGGAAGUAAUGAGUUGGGCAUGAGGAUCCAAAACUUAUUUGUUGAGGGAAAUGUGUUUGAUGGUGAUGAAAGCUCUAAUCAUGAUGUGCAAAUCAAUGGCUAAGAUGUCAAGCUCAGCAAUUGGGAACUCACUCUUCUCCCUGCUAGGAUAAAUGUUUGGUAGUUUGUUUUCUUUUCUUUUCUAUUAUCUGAAUUAUUUCAGAGUUGUAGUUCGGGAUCUAUCUUGUUUUGCCCCUUUGUCGUUUAUGUUCAAACCCUUCCAUCUUUCAUUUAAACUAAAUGGAGUGCCCCUUUUUCCUUUGUGUUUUAAAUAUGUGUUGUUGUUUGUUUUCUUUACACAGUAUAUUUUAUGUUGGUUCUAGUGACAUGACAUGCUAGUGUAAUUUUCAGCUAGAUCUUAAAUCAAGUUUAACCAAGAAUUUUGAAUCAGAGGGAUAAGGUUAGAAAAGAAUCUGAGAAAAUAGGUAGAGUGCUAAGAUAUUUGGCAACAAGUUGAAGCCUUCUUUGAAAAUUAAGACAAUUAUUUUGAGAAUCACAAGAGUAACUUGGUCCUCAAUUGAAAAACAUGUCUCAAUUAGGUUAAAAAGUGGCUGCGUGAUCUUAUAUUAAGAGGAACAGAAAGAAAAUCAGCUCCACAAAAGCAUGAGUAAUUCGAUGUGAGGGAUGUACAACAAAGGUGGAGUUGUAUGCUGGAAAACUGUGGAAAAAUAUGUGACACACAUUCUCAGUUAAAGUAUUGAUAAAGUGUCACAAAUGCUCUUCAUCUCGCUUUCAUAUUGCAUUUUUACGUACUUGCAUUUUCAAGGAUUGAUAUGACGAAGGCAUUUCAUUCUGCUAUCCAAACAUUGUGUCAUCCUUUGUUUACCCAUUUGAGCCUUAGUUCUAUUUUCUUUCAUACCCCUCUUUUGGAAUCAAGAUAAGAUUCAGCAAUGUUCAAAAGAAAAGUGUUGAGCAAAAGAAUAAAGUAAAAAAUGUGUCAAAAAGAAAGAAAAAGAAGUGUCAAGGAAAAUAAAGUCAGAAAAAUUUUCAAAGAUAAAUAAAAAAAAGAAAAGAAGUUAGAAUCAAGCAAAAGAACGAGUUGUUGGAACUACGUGUGACCUGAUUCUUCUUUCUCGGGGAUGAGAUAUGUAGGCUGCCCUACUCUGGGCUUGGUCCAACCAAAUAAAUAAUUUAGUAUUUCCCAGUAAAAAAAAAACUAGGGCAUGAGUUAAUCCUCAUUAUUUGAGUCGAUUCUAAAAGUUGUAAGUCCCACCCUACUUUAAAUAUCGUUUGGGCCUCAUGCCAUUCUUUCUUUCUAACCCUAUCCAAAAGCCAAGUUACAACCAAAGAAAGACCUUCAGACCAAUCUUUGAGGAUGUUAAGGCUAAGCAUGCAAGGGAUAUAAUGAUGCAUUUGGGAACUACUUGUCUUCCUCGGCAUAAGGAAUCAAGAGAGAAAUAAAAAUGAGAGUCUUAUUGAUGAAAACCCUCACGGGCACCGUAAGGCAAUGGUAAGUCGAUAGAUAAUAAAAUGAGAGUCUUAUUGGUGAAAAUCUUCAUAGGCAUUGUAAGAUGAUGGUAAGUUGAGAAAAAUAAAAAUGAGAGAGUCUUAUUCGUGAAAACCUUCACGAGCACCAUAAGGCAAUGGUGAGCUGCGAGAAAAAUGAGAGAGACUUGUUGGUGAAAACCCUUCAAAGUGUCACUAGCCGAAUGAGGUCUUAAAUGCAAUUGACCUAAGGAAGUAACUCAAAUUCAAGGCCAUUAACUCAACAAGAAAUGGUAAAAGUUUGGACGAAAAGAUCAGGCAGCUUAAUCCGAAAUGUAUGUCAUAUCAUUGGAGUUGACUGUCACUUUCAGAUAAAUUCUUCUUUUCUCUAUUUUAAUGGGGACAUUCAUUAUAUUUUCUUUCUUCUGAUAGUUUUAUUUUUAUUUUCUUGAGUCAUUUAUUCAAAUAAAAAAAUCAUUGUCAUUUUUCUCGUGUCUUUGAGUCAAGUUUAUGUCAAAAUAAGUGAGAAAAGUUUUCAAAAUUGGAUACUAACUUCUUCAAUUGCGCUAAGAAAGACAAAAGGAAAGCACAUGAAAGAAACAAGAUUGCAAGUCAGAACAAGGCAUACAGAAGGUUGUUGUCAACCAACAAAUUUGGAGAAUUCGUGGAAAUACCAAUAUCUAAAGGGGAUUGUCUUAGAAACAUAGCAAAGCAGAGAUACUGUGUUUGUUUUAGAGUCACUCUUAAUAAUCUGAGUCUGGAGCAAUGGUGAAACAAGGCAAUGACGAAUGUUAAUGAUUGGAAUUAAGAUUUUAAUGGGACCAGUGCAAGAGAAAUUGCCUCAAAAGCAAAAUCCGCAAGCCAACCACCUUGUUUAAAACUCACAAGUUUUCUUUGUUAUAAAACAGGAAUGGUUGCUACCUUUUAAUCAAAGUCUUCAAAGCACAAAUAUCCAGAGCUGCAAUUCCUCAUUUCUGCAAAUGCAAGAGCAUAGGUUUGGUAAUUGCAAUUAUGGUAAAACUUAUUAUCUUGUACCCCUAAGAGACACAUUCUCUAAUUUAGGCCUUUCAUGUCUUACGGCUAGGAGGUGCACUUCCUAAUUUGAACCGUUAGUUCUAAAAGAUGCACUUUUAGCAAGAACCUUUCACAUUCAUUCUUAAGAGACGAACUUUUUGGUCUCAGUCAUUCAAUUUUACCCUCAAAAGGGACAUUUGUUGAUCAGGAUCUUUAUUUAUCUUUGUAACGACCCUCCUGGUCUUGUGAAAUCUUUUCAACUUCCUUAUUCUAGCUCUUAUGGUAGUUUGUAUAUGUAAUUUAUGACUUACGAAGAUAGAUAGUACCGAUUCUUGAUGUGUUCUAGGUGAGUUAAGUUCCUAGUUGGGUAUUUUAGAUAAUUAAUUUAAUUAGUAAUUUAAUGGGUCCAAAACCAUAGUUUAACUACUUAUGGGGUCAAUACAAAAAAUAAAUUUAAGUUAGAAGGGUUUAUCGGGUAUAAUAAUAGAAGCAAAUAAUCCCAAGAAAGGGUGAACGACGGUUAGCAGCCAUAUUUUGUAUUCACCUCUUUAAAGAAAAUUCGUGACCUCUUAUAGGUUUCCUUUCUAAUAUCUUUAGAAUUUGAUUAGAAACUAGUAAAUAAAUGUUGUGUAGUGAUUUCCUGUAAUCAUUGGCAUAGUUGACCAUACAAAGUAAUAUUAAAAUAGUAAUAUGAGAGAUAUGAGAUAUUCUUACAAUUUGUCCUUUUAUAUGGAUUGGGAUAAAUCAGUGGAUACAAAUUUAUAUUAGGAUAGCCGGUCAUAUUUUAAUGAUGAUUAUGGGUUUUUGGUGCCUGCAGUGUCAUGAUAGAACUAUUUUGUUCUUGGCAUCAACAGCAUGCCUCGGAGAUUUGGAACUAACAAUUGUUAUUUUAGACAGUAACGACAUAGUAAUAAUAAUUUCAUAAUCAUAUUGAGGUUUAAGCGUAGAAAAUCAUUGUGUUUAAUAUGGAUGGAUUUUAUAAUUUAACAUGUUAUCAAACCAUAUAUGUUUUGGGUUAUGGUUAUAUAUAUGUGCUCUAUUGAUAAAUUAUUCUGCACUAGCUAUUUGAUAUCAUUUAAUUUUAAUGGGAAUAGUCUUCUUACUAUUUCGUUAGUACAUAAGACUAGAAUGAAUAUUUUAUUUAGCUAAACAAUUCGUUCAUGGCUAUUUGAUUGGAUUGGACUCGAUGUUCCUGUUUUGGCUAUUUGAUUUACUCAAUAUUGGCCAUUGAAUUGACAUAUUAUAUUGUUUGCUCUCUAAAUCAACAGGAGAUACUAUUUUGAUUAUUUCAUAGGUCUUAAGGGUAAAAAUGUGUAAAAUGGGUGUCACUAGAUUCGUACUCUUAUUGGGAUUAUAGUUUGAACAACUUUGAAAUAUUCGGAAGCUUUAUGGAAGGGCAAAACCCUUGCACAUUAGCUUGCUUUUGAGUUCUUCGAUUGAGGUAGGUUAUGAUUUAAUUAGAGUUUAGAAUCAACUUGAUUGUGUGUAUGCUCCUAAAUUAGAUACUUGUUGAUUGGUAUUCGGAUAUGCUUGAAAUUGUUGAUGUUUGGACUAUUGAUUUGUGUAUAAAUGAUUAUUGAAAAUUUACUUGAUGGAAUUGUCUUAUGACUUUAAAUGUACUUGUAAACUUGGUGCAUUGUGUUGUAUGCUUGAGGUAGUUUAAAUUUGAUAUUGAUAUUACUUGUUUAUAUGUUGGAUCGGGUACCAUGCCGGUAUGGAUAUGUAUAUAUUGGAUCGGGUACCACACCAGUAUGAAUAUAUAUAUGUUGGAUCGGGUACCACGCCAGUACGGAUAUGUAUAUGUUGGAUCGGGUACCACGCUAGUACGGAUAUUUAUAUGUUGGGUUGGGUGCCACACCGGUGUGGAUAUGUAUAUGUUAGAUCAGGUACCACGUUGGAUCGGGUACCACACCGAUACGGAUAUGUAUAUGUUGGAUCAGGUACUACGCCUGUAUGGAUAUGUAUAUGUUGGAUCGGGUACCAUGUUGAUACGGUACAUGAACAUAGAUUGUUCCCUGCAGGUCAUGACUAUUUGGGUAAAAAUAAGCCCCAUAGCAUGUGUGUACGUAUUUAUAUUGAUUCUGUGGAUGUUUAUAGCAUGGUUGAUACUCUUGAUGGUUAUGUGGCUUAUUUGUGAGCACUGUUUGACCUAUUGUUGUUGUUGUUGUAUUGUUGAUUCAUUGAAUAUUUAUUUUGUGACGAUGCCUGUUUACUUGUUAUCUAAUUUAUGUUGUGUAAAUGCUAUUAAAUUGAGUUGGCCUAUGAUACCUACCAGUACAUAGUGGUUUGUACUGAUACUACCCUGUACUUUUCUUUUGUUGAGUGUAGAAAGUGUUCUUGGGACUCAGACAUGACCUCACCUCUAGAGUUUGAUAGUAGAUCUUGAUCCAAGGGUGAGCACUCUGUCUCCAGGAUGCCAUAGGUCAUCCUAUUUAUUCUGUCCAUCUUUCGGGCAAUGAAACAUUCUUUAUUUACUUUAUUUUUGGAUAUCCCUUUAGACAUGAUCUUUGUUAGUAGUUCUUGUACGAUGACUUUCGGAUCUUGAAAAUUUUAGUAAGUAGUUUGUUUUAAUUCCGUAUUAACAAUGAUUAGUCUUGAAUUAUUGUUAUUAUGUUGAUUUUAUAAUAAUAUUAUCUUAAUAUUGAUUAAGUGAUUGGGUAAUAGUUCGAUUUAGAUGGUUCUCCCACAGAAAGAUUAGUGUGGGUGCCACUUAUGGCCAUUUGGGUCAUGACAAAGUUGGUAUCAAAUCCCUAGGUUUGUCGAUCUCGUCGUAUAAGAACAUGUCUAGUAGAGUCUUGCAGAACGGUACGGAGACGUCUAGAGUCUUGCAGAACGGUACGGAGACGUCUGUACUUUCCUUCGAGAGUCUAUGAGACACUAGAAAAAUUUAAAUUCUUCUUCCUUAUGUGUUACUACUUGAUUUCAAUUGGUAUCUGACUUUUUUUCACUCUUAUUCUCGAAGAUGGGUGUGGUUGAGAGGUAUGGUAUAGAACUAGUUGUCACACCACUUUUUAAACUCCAAAAAAGAUUCGUUUUAAGUUCGAAAGGGUUUUUAUUAUCAACGUGACAAAAGAUAAAAAUUUUGUUUCGAAAAGAAUUCACUUUAAAAUUAACUCAGAGUCGCCACUUGGCAUAAUCCGGUGUGCCAAGUCACCUUUGAAAAAUCCUUUUCAAAACGAUUUGACUCUUUAAAACUGGUUUGCAAACAGAGAUUCCGGCUAAGAAAUUCUGUUGAUCGAGGGGAAGGUGUUAGGCACCCCUCGGUCUCAUGGUUCAACCACGGUCGCUUGGUAGAGCGUAUCGGCUAAUUUGCCAUUCUGAAUUUAUAAACCACACAAAACAAACAAAAAACAAACAAACAAACAAACGAAAACAAAACGAACCAAAAAUAUAGUGUCCAGUCCAAUUUAUACAUUCCAAAUAGAAAAAUGCAAAAAAUAAAUCUUAUCUAACCUAUACUAAUUCUAAAUUUGCUCUCGUGCAUAACCCGACGCCUCGGGCCUUCAUUAUAAAUGUUCUCAGGGUACAUAAUACUUUGAGGCAUUCCCCGGUGAAUGAACAUAAAUACCUCGGGGCAUUCCCCGGCCAAAUGAUACAUUCAAUCCCGAAAUCAAUAAAACCAAACCGUUCACACUCAUUUCAAGCAUUCAAUAAUUCAACGAGCAAAACUUAUUCCUAAAUCUUUGCCUACCCGAGCCUACUUUUGUCUAUUCAUUAGGCCUACCAUGAUACUAUCACGUCAAUGAUAUUCAAUGAAUCAAAAUAAAUUAACGCUUGCUUUUUUAUCAAUUUCAAUUCCUACCCCCCUUAAAAAAUAGCUUCCUUUUCAAUCAAUCAAUGAUUAAUUGAUCUUUCAGUUUAGCACCUUUUCAAAAUUCAAAACCAACAUCCAUACAUCAACCAACGAAAAUUCAAACAUAUGAAUCAUUAAUACCCAUCACAACAGUUAAGACCACUAAAAUUAUCAAGAAAUCACGCCAAGGCCAUAUUUGAACUAAUAAAGAGAUAGAGUUGAGAAAAUGAACCUUUGAAUAUUACAAUGAUAUCAAUGUUUAAGAAAACCAGACUCGAAACGCUCGAAUAGAAACUCUCAACAGCGUCAAGAUCAUAACUAGAAUCGAUAAACAUCAGUCCAAAAUUGACCACAAUAACCUGACUAAGACCCAAAAUAGAAAUUCCAACCCGAUCGACGACACGAUUUGAUAAUAAAAAAAACCUCCAAGACCAUCAAUAACAACGAACAACAAACAUAGAUGAAACAAAAAAAAAACUCCCAACGAUACGAUAGAAAUCGAGAUCCAAGAGAUUCCGGCGAAGUAGUCGCCGGAACAGUGACCAAACCUGCAAAACCCUUUUCCGAAUAACUUCAAAUCUACCCUUUUUUCUUCCCCGUUACAGAUCCACCCUCAAUUUCUCUCUCACGUGCGAGUCUCUCGAUAUUUUUGGUCAAACUCUCCACUACCUGAUUGUCUAUUCCGGUUGUGUGUUCUGUGUGCGUGAGUGAGUGUGAAUUAGUGAGGUGUAGUAUAUGAGAUUGUGUGCAUGCGAGUUACUGUGUAAAAGAAAAGACGGCCCCAAAAUUGGAGUCCGUCAGUGUUUUUUUUUUUAAUGAAGAAGAUCAUGUUCUUGGUGUGUUAUGUGUAGAUGAUGAUAAGAGCAAGAACCAGAAAAAUUGUGAGGCCUACCCCCCCCCCUUUCUCUCGUGCACUGUGUGUGUAUAUAUUUCAAAAGGAAAGAAAAAUAUUUUUGGAGACUUAUGGGUCCAUCCCCCUAGGUAAUUUCCUGGAAAGUUCCCUGGGUCCUUUCUUUGUUAACAAGCAAAAUAAGAGAGGGAGUGAGGGGUCACGUGAGGUAGGGGAUAGGAGGGGUAGGGGUUCGGAUGUGUUGUCAAUUUUUAAUAGGUUGAGUUGUUGGAAUCUUUAAAAUAAGACAAAAUUAGUUAGGUUUGUUAAAUGGGUUAAAAACAAAACAAAACAAAUAAAUAAAUGAGUAAAAGAUGAGGUGGUUAUUUAUUUUCUUGGGGAAAAAUUACUAUGUGGAUAGGGUAUGUAGUAAAAUGAGGUAAACGAUAAAAUGUGUGAAGGGACAAAAUUACGUGUCUACAUCAUGCCCCCUUUGAAUGUAAACACCUAGUGUUUUCAUACAAAGAAGUAGACAACGAGACAGAAUUUUGUCCCAAUCAUUAUUCGAAGAAAGAAACAAAAGAAAGAAAGAGAACCGAGUCUUGACGGACAUCCUACCUACCCAUGUUAUGAGGGAAUCAAGUGACUGGUAUCUCCAAGGGUUGGAAGGAGAGGAACUAUACCGAGUUGGAGAGUCGAGUGAGGUUCCAUCGAGGUUUUGGUCCGCGGCUCUGUCAUUACAUCAAAAAUAAAAAUUACACGUUAAAACAUCAAUGAAAUUACAAAAUCCUAUCUAUGGAGCUUUCUUUGACUAUUUACUCGCUACUCCAUCACCUUAUUCUUCAGGCGGGCUCCUGACUUGCAAUUUCUUCACCCUGUUGCUUGACUUUUAACUUCUUCACCCUGUUCUUCAGGCGGGCGUCUGACUUGCUAUUUUUCUUUCGAUUUCUUCACCUUGUUGCUUGACUUUCCACUUUUCACCCUAUUUUCAAGUGGAACCCUGACUUUUAAUUUCAUCACCCUGUUCUUCAGGCGAGUUCUUGACUUUCCAUUUCAUCACCCCAUUCUUUAGGCGAGUUCUUGACUUAUAAUUUCGUUACCCUGUUCUUCAGGCGGGCACCUGACUUACAGCUUCAUCACCCUGUUCUUCAGGUGGGCUCCUGAACUCAAAAUAAAAGCUAGAAAUAAAAUUAUCCCAAACGAAGAUUAUGAUAAAGAAAAAUUUCACUUUUUCCUAAAAGUAAUGUCCCAUUUUCCAGGAGGGUCCUGAACAUAAAGUAAAUUCCCAUUUUUAAAGAGGGUCCUGAACAGAAAGUAAAUUCCCAUUUUUCAGGAGGGUCCUAAACACAAAGUAAAGUCCCAUUUUUCAGGAGGGUCCUGAACAGAAAGUAAAAUUCCAUUUUUUAGGAGGGUCCUGAACAGAAAGUAAAAUUCCAUUUUUCAGGAGGGUCCUAAACAGAAAGUAAAAUCCCAUUUUUCAGGAGGGUCAUGAACAGAAAGUAAAAUCCCAUUUUUCAUGAGGGUCCUGAACAGAAAGUAAAAUCCUAUUUUAAGGAGGGUCCUGAACAGAAAGUAAAGUCCUCAUGGAUGUGUUUUUCCAAUGGUAACUGAAUUAAAUGAAGUGAAUUUGCCCCUAUUUCAACAAAGAAAAUUUGUCAGUUAAAAACUUAGUGGUGGCUUGUAGCACUUGGCUUCCCAGGGAUCUGCUCCAACCAUUGUUCCUUUCACCUUUGUUUCAGAUCACUGAAACUUAUCUCUGUCUUGUCGCAUCAUUGACCCAGAUCCAAAUUGAGGGAAAUGAGUUUUGACUCGAACAAUGAGUCUCCAUUUUACCAUGCCUCUGAGAUGCACCCUUUUCCAAAUCUUAAUACUCCCACGAAUCCAGCAGCCUGUCGGUUGAUAGACUUCCUUUUCUUUGUGUUGAAUUACGAUCAUAUUUCUUUCAUGUGCUGGUCCUUGGCUUUUCCUCAGAAAAUUGGAAAGACUGGUAGCAAGUUUUGAAAUCUUUUCUCGCUUGUUUUGACACAGACUUGACUUAAAAUGUAGAGAAAUGAUGGUGACUGUUAUUUUGAUAAAUGACAUAAAAAGACAAAAUAUGAAUAUGUAAUGAAAGAAAAAGGAAAUGUCCCUUAUUCAAAAAGAAAACUUAUCUGAAUACGGCAACCAAUUCCAAUGAGUAUGACAUGCAUUUUGGAUUAAGCUGCCUGAUCUUCCUAUCCAAACUUCCCAUUUUUUGUUGAGUUCAUGCCUUUGCCACUGAGCCACUUCUUCAAAUCCAUUGGACUCACAUAACUCAUUCAAUUGAAAACAACUUAAAAGACUUUCGCCAACAAAUCUCUUUCCUUUUCACUUUUCUCUCAAACUCGCCAUCGCCUUACGGUGCCCAUAAGGGUUUUCACCAAUAAGACUCUCAUUUUUAUUUCUCUCAGCUCCCCAUCGUCUUAUAGUGCUCGUGAGGGUUUUCACAAGUAUGAAUCUCUCAUUUUUAUUUCUCUCGACUCACCAUUGCCUUAUGGUGCCCGCGAGGGUUUUCACUAAUAAGACUCUCAUUUUUAUUUCUUUCCUGAUUUUUUAUACUGGGGAAGACAAGUAGUACCCAACAAUGUAUCAUUAUAACCAUUGCAUGCUUAGUCUUAACAUUAUCAAAGAUUGAUUUGAAGGACUUUCUUUGGUUGUAGCUUGGCUUUGGAUAAGGUUAGGAAAGGAUGACAAGAGACUCAAACGAUACUUGAAGUGGGGGUGGGAGUUACAACUUUUGAAAUCGACUCAAACAACACAUUAACUCAUGCCCCAGUUUUUGUUGACUGGUACCAGAAUCUAAAAUCUUUAUUUGGUUGGACCGAGCCCUGAAUAGGGAAGCCUAUGUAUCUCACCCCCAAGAGAGGAGAAUCAGGUCGUACAUAGUUCCAUCAGCUUGUUCUUUGUUUUGAUCUAAUUUUCUCUUCUCUUUUUUUUCUUUUAUUAUUAUUUAUUUAUUUUUAUUAUUUUUUUAUUGACAUUUCACUUUUUGCUUUGUUUUGAUUCCAAAAGAGGGAUAUGAAAGAAAAAGAGGACUAAGCUCAAACGGGGUAAACAAAGAAUGUCACAAUGUUUGGAUAACAGAAUGAAAUGCCUUCAUCAUAUCAAUCUUCAAAAAUGCAAGUACUAGACAUGUACUAAAAUCAACAAAGGAUAAAAUAUCAUACAUAAUAUCUUUUGACCGCAUCAACAUUGAUAGCCAUUUCUGCCAUUUUGCCUUCAAUAUCUGUCAAAUAUAAGGCUCCAUUGGGCAACACUUUCUUCACCAUGAAGGGACCUUGCCAAUUAGGGGAGAACUUGCCUUUUGCUUCAACCUGAUGAGGAAGAAUACAUUUCAAUACCAACUGACCAACUUCAAAAUUCCUGGGACGUACCUUUUUGUUAUACGCUCAAGCCAUUCUCUUCUGAUACAAUUGGCCAUGACAUACCGACUUCAAUCUUUUUUCAUCAAUCAAACUCAAAUGUUCCAAUUAGGUUUUGGCCCACUCAUCAUCAUCAAUCUCUGAUUUCACAAUGACUUAAAGAGAGGGAAUUUCAACUUCAGUGGGAAUGACUGCUUCUGUCCCGUACACCAAUAAAUAUAGAGUUGCCCCUGUUGAAGUGUGAACAGUAGUGCGAUACCCUAGCAAUGCAAACGGCAACUUCUCAUGCCAUUGUCUAUAUCCUUGCACCAUUUUCUGUAGUAUUUUCUUGAUAUUCUUAUUGGCAGCUUCCACCGUGCCAUUUGUCUUUGGAAGAUAUGGAGUGGAAUUUUGAUAUACGAUCUUAAACUGUUGGCAUACUUCUUGAAUCAAAUGUCUAUUGAGAUUGGCAGUAUGUCUGUAAUGAUCAUCUUUGGAAUUCCAAACCUACAAAUGAUGUUGGCAUGAAAGAAAUCUACUACCGCCUUCUUUGUUACCGACUUGAAAGUUACUGCUUCUACCACUUUGUGAAGUAAUUAAUGGCCACCAGAAUAAACCUAUGCCUAUUUGAUGCUUUUGGCUCAAUCAGUCCAAUCACGUCCAUUCCCCAGGCUAUGAAAGGACAUAGAACAACCAUUGCGUGCAACUCAGUUGGAGAAGAAUGUAUUAGAUCACCGUGUACCUGACAUUGAUGACACUUGAGAACAAAUCGAAUAGAAUCCCUCUCCAUAGUGAGCCAGUAAUAGAGAAUCUUCUUUGAUAAGACAUAACCGUUCAUAUGAGGCUCGCAUACUCUGGAGUAAACUUCAACAAUGAUUGCCGAAGCUUCUUUUACAUAUACAUACCUCAAAAGUCCCAGAUCCGGGGUUCUCUUGUAUAAGACUCUUCCACUUAAGAAAAAUCCACUAGCCAAAUGCCUAAUAGUCCUCUUUUAAUCAUUGGUGGCAUGUGCUGGGUAUUCUCCUGACUGGAUGUACUGCUUGAUAUAAAAGAACCAAGGUUCUCCAUGGAGCUCUUCUUGAACUGCAUUACAAUAAGUGUGUUGAUCAUGACUCUGAAUAUGCACUGGAUCGAUGUAGGCCUUAUCAGGAUGUUGGGGCAUCGAAGAUAAAGUGGCCAACCCAUCAGCAAUCUCAUUGCAAAUUCUUGGAAUAUUCCUAAACUUUACAGACACAAACCGUUGACAUAGAUCUUUCAAGCAUUGUCAAUACGGUAUUAGCUUUAAAUCUUGCGUCUCCCAAUCACCUUGAAUCUGAUAGUCGAGCAAAUCUAAAUCCCCAACACUAUUAGUUCCUGGACUCCUAUAUCAACAACUAGCCUCAACCCAGAAUGCGAGCUUCAUAUUCUGCCAUGUUAUUGGUACAAUAAAAUCGAAGUUGUACUGUUACCGAAAAAUAUUGCCCCACCUCAGAGAUAAGAACAACACCUAUUCUAACUCCCUUGACGUUAACAACUCCAUCAAAGAACAACUUUCAACCUGGAUCAACAUCUAUAAUGACUUCAUCGACACACAAUACCUCUUCAUCUGGAAAAUAUGUCUUUAAUGGGUCAUACUCUUCAUCAAUGAGAUUCUUAGCAAGAUGAUCUGCUAAGGCUUGGUAUUUCAUGGCGGUUCGAGUCACAUAUACAAUGUCAAACUUGGUAAGCAAUAUUUUCCACUUUGCCAAUCAACUCGUUGGCAUAGGCUUAUGAAAUAUAUACAUCAACAGAUCUAUGCGGGAGAUGAGAUAAGUAGUAUAAGAUGAAAGAUAAUGCUUAAAAUUUUGUUCUACCCAAGUCAGGGCACAACACGUUCUUUCAAGAAGUGUGUACUUGGCUUCAUAUGUUGUGAACUUCUUGCUAGGUAAUAAAUAGUUUAUUCCCUUUUGCCCGUGACAUCAUGCUAACCCAAGACACAACUAAAGGAAUUGUCCAUGACUGAUAAAUAUAUGAUCAAAGGCCUACCAGGAUCCGGUGGUACCAGCACGGGCGGAUUUAACAGAUAUCUUUUGAUUUUAUCGAACACUUCCUGGCAUUCUUCAAUCCACUCUACCACAACACUCUUUUUCAGCAACUUGAAAAUGGGCUCACACGUGGUUGUGAGUUGAGAAAUAAACCUGCUGAUGUAGUUCAAUCUACCCAGGAAACUUAUCACCUCCGUCCUAUUCUUGGGUGAAAGCAGAUCUUGGAUGGCUUUGAUUUUCGAGGGAUCCAAUUCAAUUCACAGAUGGCUGACUACAAACCCCAACAACUUUCCAGACGGAACUCCAAAUACAAAUUUUGCUGGAUUGAGCUUGAGAUUAUACCUGGGAAGCCUUCUAAAGAACUUUCUUAAAUCUUUUACAUGGUCAACCUGGCUCUUUGAUUUAAUAAUUACAUCAUCUACAUAGACUUAAAUAUCCUUAUGCAUCAUAUCAUGAAACAUGGUGGUCAUGGCUCUCAUGUAUAUUGUUCCAGCAUUCUUCAAACCGAAUGGCAUCACUUGAUAAAAUAAGUACCCCACAGUGUGAUAAAAGACGUCUUUUCCACGUCUUCAUCAUCCAUAAUGAUCUGGUGGUAUCCAGCAUAACAAUCCACAAAAAAGGCUACCUCAUAUUUAGCGCAAUUGUUCAGCAAAAUAUGGAUGUUGGGCAGCGAAAAAUCAUUAUUCGGACUUGCUCUGUUCAAAUCAAGGUAAUCAACACAUACUCGAAUUUUGUCAUCUUUCUUUGGGACAGGAACAACAUUGGACAACCACGUAGGAUAAAGAGCCACUCGAAUGACUUUGGCUUUCAGUUAUUUCAUAAUUUCCUCUUUGAUUUUAAUACUUACAUCAGUUUUAAACUUCCUCAACUUCUAUUUCACAGGGAGGGGAAGGCAGGAUCAGUUGGCAAUUUAUAAGACACUAAUUCAGUGGUUAAACCGGGCAUAUCAUCAUAAAACCAUACAAAAACAUUCUUAUAAUCAAUUAAUGCUUGAACCAUGCCCUCUUUUAGCUGUGGCAAAGCAUGUACACUAAUUUUAGUUUCCCUAACAUCUUCUUGAUUCCCUCGAUUAAUUGGGUCAAUUUCAUUCAAAUUAGGAUUUGAAUUGUCUUCAAAUUGUUUCAACUCUUUGCUUAUUUCUUCUAGUGCCUCUUAUUCAUCAUAUUCCCCUCUUGCUUCAAUAUAUCUUGAUUAGUUUGGAUUUUAAGAUUAGGCUAAAAAUUUCACAUGCAUGUCAUGUCAUUAGAGUCAGCAUAAAGAGAACUGUAUAAAGAAAAGACAAAACAAAAUACAUUAGACAAAAAAUAAAAGGGACAUUACAUUUCAUUAAAAGGGAAAGGUAGGAGGGUUUAAACACAAACAACAGAAUAUAAACAAGCUAAAUUCUGAGUUACAACCCUGGAAUAACUCAAAAAACUGAAAGGAAAACAAAAUAAACUAUCAAAACAGCCUCCUGAUGGGGAGAGGAGUGACUUCCCAAUUGUUGAGACAGACAAUUGGAACUAUGAACUGCACAUCUUCCUUACUGGUACCUUCUCCUGCUUCAACCAUGUCAACUUCAAUCAAUAGGUUCUGGAAGUCAUCAACCAAUUUAGCUUUAAAUUCUACAUGCUUUAUGACACCGCUCUUGACAAAUGACUCACUGAGUAGCGGCGUUGGGUGAGGGAGUGACCAUGUUUCCUUUUUCCUUUCCUUGGCCUCCUUCAGAUCUUCAGUCGUAGGUUCAAAACCCAGACCAAAAGUGCCUAUGUUCUCCCUCGGACAUAUAGGACGAACUAUACCAUACAGAGACACUCCCAAACCUUUUCCUGGCACAAAUCCAUACUUCAACAUCUCAUUCACCAUCAUGAAAGAAGUAGAAGACAAUCGUGGUCCCGACAUAACCUUCUCCUCAAGAAUAAGAUCCACCGACACUGUAUCAAACGACUGAUAGAUAAAUGUAUCCUCUACACUAAUUGCUUCAAUAAGAGGGAUGAGAGAAUCUUUGUGGGCGGACAAAUCCCUUUUGCCAUGAAUAACCACUUCUUGCCUGUCAUGCUCAAACUUGAUCAUCUAGUGCAAUGUAGAUGCAACAGCCCCAACUUUGUGGACCCAUGGUCUUCCCAACAACAGAUUGUAUGAGGAGUCAAUAUUCAUCACUUGGAGCUCUAUGGAAAAUUCAACAGGCCCUAUAAGCAACAUUAGUUAUAUUUCGCCAAUGAAGUCUGUUUUAGCCCCAUCGAAAGUCCUGACACAUACAUUAUUCGGCCUAAUCCUCUCGACACCGAUGUUCAACUUUUGUAGUGUAGAUAUAGGGCAAAUAUUUAUGCCAGAACCUCCAUCAAUCAUGACAUGAGUGACGCAGAAAUCUUAACACUUCACGGUAAUGUAAAGACCCUGGUUAUGCCCCGUACCUUCAACUGGAAAUUUGUUAUCAGAGAAGCUGAUUCGAUUUACUUCAAAGAUUUUUUCGACUAUUUUCUGAAGCUGAUUUAUCGUAAUCUCCUUAGGAAAGUACGCUUUGUUUAAUACCUUCAGUAUAAUGUCACGAUGUUCCUUGGAAUGCAACAACAAAGAUAAGAGGGAAAUUUGAGCAGGGGUCUUCUUCAACUGAUCUAUUAUUGAAUACUCUGGAAAUUUCAUCUUUUUCAAAAAUUCUUCAACUUCUUUUUCGGUGACAGGCUUCUUGACAGAUGAAGGCCCACUUACCCCUGGCUUGGGCUUCAUCAAACCUUUAAGCACGAAGCAUCUUCCUGACCGAGUCAGACCCCCUAUCACAUCUACUUCUUCCUCGACUUUCUUUCCUUAAUAAGUCAUCACAGUCUGCUUAUAGUUCUAGGGUACCUUUUUCGUAUCAACUGUCGGAGGUUGGGUCACCGGUUUGAUGAUAAUAGGCGCUGCAAGUACUCCUUUCACUGUCAAGAUAGGCUUACCCGGAGCUCCUAUCACCAUUAAAUUAUGCUCGUCUUAACUUAGACCAACAUUUUUUCUGGCUCCUUGCACCACAAUCACAGGUUUCUUUGUGCUUUCUUGGACUUUAUCUUCUCCCAUUCCUUCCUGGCUUAAUGACAUUGCUUUCAAUGAAUCUUCAACAUUCACCUAUUUGUCCUCCUUGGUUUGUAUUCUGACAAUAGGCUUAUAACACAUUGAUGACUCUUUGCCAUCAUAUAUCAACUCCAAUAUAUUAGUUUCAGCAUGGUUGGCAAUGGAUUCUGGUUAAUGUUUGGAAUUUACAGGGCCUGGACUAGAAGUUGAUUUGCAUCAAUUAAAUCUUAGAAAACUCUCUUCAAAUGCCAGCAUUUCUCGAUGUCGUGCCCCGGCAUAUCAAAACAAUACGCAUAUCUUAAUGAAUAAUCAAGAUUUCUCGGAGGUGGAUUCAAAAGCCUUCCUUGAAUUAGGCUCAAUACCUUCAAAUUCCUCAACCUAGGUUGGAAAGCGGGUUUGGAGGGUUUUUGGUAAUUUGGAGGAGCUGAAGGACGAUUUUGAGGAGCUUAUGCAUGCCAUUGUGGGUAAAAAAGGGUUUGAGCAUAUGCUUGUGCGCUAUUUACUGGGUACGGGGGUGGUGGAAUGGAAUAUAGUGGGUUUUGUAGGGGAUAGUAAUGAUGGGAAAGAAUAUAUGGAGCUUGGGCAUAGGCUUGGGCUUGGGGUUAGUGAUAGGGGCAAGGUGGUCUUUUGGGAUAGGAAUGGGAUAUAGCUAUAAUGGUUGCCACCUCCUCUUUCUUAUUUUUUACCUCCAAAAGUUCCAGAGCCACCUUGAAUUGCUUGGGUGAUGGCUUUUAAUGCGGCAAAACUCAUAAUCCAUCUAGUCUUGUUUCUGUCCUCUAUCAUCUCUCCCAUUUUUAGGACUUCAAUAAAUGACUUUCUCAUCGCCGGAAGUAAAUGUUGAAAAUAGGUCUCAUCCUAUGCCAGAAUGAAGACCUCUACUAACUUACUCUCCUUCAUUGGAGGUUUUACCCUUGCGGACUGUUCACGCUAUCUUAUCGCGUAUUCCCAAAAACCUUUAGUACUUUUCUUUUUCAUAUUGACCAGGGAUUUCUCAUCAGGAACCAGAUCGAUGUUAUAUUGAAAAUAUUGCACAAAUUCAUUAGCUAGGUUAUCCCAGUUGUUCCAAUUGUCAAUAUCCUGAUCGAUGAAACAUUCUAAAGCCAGACCGGAAAGACUCUCACCAAAGAAAGCCACAAACAACUCUUCUCUUCCCCCUGCAGCCCUCAAUUGGUUGCAAUAACGUCUCAAAUGCGCCACGGGAUCACCGUUUCCCUCGUACUUCUCAAAUUUGGUCAUUUUAAAACCAAGGAGAAGGUUAACGUCUGGGCAUAUGCAAAGAUCUCUAUAGGAAACACUCUUAUAACCCCCGAUUCCUUGUAAAUUCCUCAUGGCCUGUUCUAAAAUUUUCAAUUUCCACGCUAUGACUUCUUGUUCCUCUAUUGUAACUAGCUUCUCUGUAUCAAAUGGAAAUGCAGGUGGAUGAGUGUACCCAUAUGGUUCAUUCAUCUUCAAAGUAGGUUCCAGGGCAUAAUACUGAUUAUCUGAAACCUUCAAUACUGGCUCACUAACAGACUGAAGGAGUACCAUUGUCGGACGUACAGUAUAGAUUGGAGCUUUAGGUGGUGGCGGAGCCACGAACACAGGCGCUGCCGGUGGCUCCGAAUGAGUCACGGGCCUUAGUUGAGGAACUGCUAGGGGAACACUAUAAGUGCCAGGGUAAUAUUGCCGUGGAGUGAAUCCGUUGACUCAAUGGGAACAGUGAAUUGCGCCUAAGAGAGCUGUGGGCAAUUAGGGAAAUUCCCAAGAUCUUUAGGGAGUGGAGGAGGAGGCAUGCCACUAGCCCAUGCUCGGUGAAGAUCUAGCAAUUGUUGUCUAAGUCUUAAUACCUCAUCAUUGCGUUCUAAACUUUCUUUCCUGGGAUCCUGAUCUGGGUCAAUGAGUGAAUUUUCAAUCUCCCUACUAGACAUGACAAGCUUAUCUUUUGAUCUAGUGAAGUACAGAUGCCUAGACAAAGUGCUACAAAGCAACCACUUAUCUGAAAGAACAUGCUCAUCAAAGGCAAAACCCAUUAGGAUUAGGUCAGGAAACAAGCAUAGAAAUCACAUAGUAUACAUCAUAGGUUUAUGUACAUUUCUACUGGCCUUUGAGGGUACUGAGGCCAUUUUAACAUCAUCCCGAUUUUCUCAUUACAUUAUCACACCUCGUUCUUUCUGCUUUUCACCUUCACUUCUUCCUUCUUUUGCAUCAAUUUCUUCUCUUCCUCUUUUCUUCUCUCAUUGCUAUUUCUUUCUUUUCUUCUCUCGCUAUCUCAUUUCUUUUUGUCAUUCUUUAUGGGUUUUGCUUUUCUUUAAAAGAGGAAAAUAAUGAAAAACAAAGAAACAAAAUGAUUAGAUCGAACCCAAAAGUAGGUUGCCUACGUAUCAUAUUAAUGAAUCAGAUCUUGCGUAGUUCGGGAGACAUAUGCACAAAUAUCACAUAAUUGAAGAUUUUUGAUUUUUGAUUUUUUUUUUUGGCGAAAAACAAACAAAAGAAAAAACCAACAUCACUACAUUUCAUAAAAGGGAUGACUCAAACAUACUUCAAAUUUAAGACAAACUUAAAACUAAUCAACGAAAACUAAACAACACUCUAGACAUAUAGGACAACAUGCGUAACAUUCCUUAUAAAGACCCUAGCGUUAAAACAAACUGGACAUCGACUUAACAAAGACACAAUACUACAAUGGCAGAAAAGUAAAGGACUCAAACUAAACAAAAGAUAAGAAAUGCUCUUUCAAACUGGUGCGUCGUGUGAUGACCCUGGAUGAGAUGGACCUUUCUGUGAAAUUCUACUCAAACUAUAUAGCAUAUCUUGCAAGGACAGUUUGAUAUUUUGGAAGAAACUUCUAGCACGUAUUCCUGCCUCAUGGGGAGUGCACCUGAAAAGACUGUUCUGACAUAUUUCCACAGUUGCGAGCAAACCUGAUAACUGAACUCUCAACUCCUCCACUUUGAUCCCCGCACCCUCAUCUUGACGAACAUCAACUAUGCAUUCUUCCUGUGUUCUUCCUCUAAGCUGUGCUGGUAAUGGUCUACUGAUACCCCGAGGCAUGGACUCUAGCCAGAUCUCAUAUCUCUGAGUGUACCCCGGAUUAUCCAAACCUUUUUUAAGAGUGUCUACACCUAGCAUUGUUGCAUGCUUCCAUAACUGCUCGUAUUUCCUCUCACCUAAGGCUUGGUCCUUGAAGUACUCAACAUUCUUUAGAAGAUCCACUACUGUUUGCACGUCCUGCGGCCUGCCCAACUGGCGCAUUAUCCUAGAAGGACUGUAUGGUCUAGUGCAAUUGAGUCCUAACAUAACUAUAAGGAGCUGCAUCUGACAACCAAACAAGAUUAUUUUUGGGCGAAGCCACAGAUAAGUCUACAAAAUGUUAUCCUCGGUUCUUGACUCAAGAAAUUCAAUCCAAGCAUCGACUCCCACGAGUUGCGAGAAUUUAUCAAAGCGCCACCUGAGGUCCAUGACUUUCACUCGAUUGGGAACACAACUAUCAACCAUGUCUGGUCUAACUAAAGAAGGCGCAUGCAAAUGCUCCAUCAUCCACAACUACAAUAUCAGGUUACUGCCCUCCAAAAAUCUCAUCCCCCGUUUACUUCGGUUAAAGCGUUAUAUAUUUCUGUUAAGAUCAUGGGUAUAAUAGUGAACUUUUCCUUUUGAUUAGUGACCUUGACCUUUUGAUUAACGAUCUUGCCUUUUUGAUAUGUGAUAUUGUCUUUUUUAUCCUUAUGAAAUAGAGCCAUUACCACAGAUUGCAAGCGUGUAUUAAUACGCCUUUCUUCUAGCGGAAACACUAAAGUGCCUAACAGAGCGAGGGUGAAGACUUCAAGAUGUUUUCUUUCCCAAUUAUGCUUAGUCAUAUAAAAUUCAUCCCAAAAGUAGUCAAAACCUUUCAAGGACCCAAACCUAGCGAAUAAAAAGUCAAAGGAAAUCCAUGAUUGAUUCAGAUAACCCAAAUGCUUGUUGUUACUCUUUAACCCACAACCUUGUAGAAAUUUAUUGCCCGAGUGAUUCUGAGCUCGGAUCAUACUCUUAUCGAUAUAAGGCAAAUAAAGCAUACCGAAUAUUUCUGCCAAGGUAGGAGUCAUUCAUAGUUUCCGAACCUGAACACCACACUACUAGGAUCCCAAAAGGUUAACAUAGCAUCUAUUAGAUCUGGCCGAGGUGUAAGAUAUAGAAGCUCCAUAGGAUCACCUAGUAUCUUAAUUACCUCUUGCUUAUUAGUACAGUUGGACGUGCCCCACCACUUGAUUAACUUUUUGGGUACUUUGGAAACCAUCAAGUCUCUAGAACCUAUGGGAUUCAUCCUGUAAGAACAAACCAUACUCAAAAUUCAAAACAAGAGAAAGAGCUCCCGACCCUCGGGAUUUUAGCUUAGAGAAAUAUCAUAUGACAUAGAGGGACAGAUCGACCUAUAACUUAAAUAUACCGAACAGUACCGCCGAAUGAAAUCAGCCUACUUGGCAAGGACCAGUUGACAACACUAGAUUACGAGGAGAAAGACCCUAGCCUAAGAUCGAGAUGAAGAUCAAGGUAAAAAGAUUACCGGACCUGCCGAGGGUUGCCUACGUAUCCCACCUCGAGGGACGAGAAUCAGGUAUGCGUAGUUCAUCCAGAUUAGACAAUUAAGGACUACAAUGAACUAAGACUUGACCUAAUAGGUGGGAUUACAGACGGACGAUGGAAAUAACAUCUUUUUGGGUUUUUUAAUAAACACUUUACAUAAAAAUAGUACCACUAUGAAAUUAAAAUCUUUUUGGUAUUUUCAUGAAAUGUACAAAACUCCUACAAUUUUUUUCCAAUUUUGUUUUAUAAAAACUCCUAUGAAUGAAAAAUCUUUUUGAAGUUUUCGAAUUGUGAAUGCAUGCUAAACGAGACAAAGGAACAUUUUUUUUGAUGUUUUUGUUUUUGAGAAAUGAGUGCUAAAGGUAAAAGUUUUUUUUUUCUUCUGAAUUUUUGGAUUGUGAAAAACAAAAGCCAUAAAGAACUCGAAAAACUACGAAACUCUUUCUUUUUUCUUUUUCUUUUCUUUUUUUCCAUUACCCAUACACUUUACUUCUAACACAUGUUUCCCCAAAUUAGUCCGUCAAAUGACCAUGUUACCCUCAAAGAUGCAACAUUUAGCACGUUGGGAUGUUUUAGAGGUGAGUAUCCUAUGAAGGACCAAGUAGGCCCCGCUAAGUCUCGACAUGAUGCACAUAAACAUGACCAGAAGGUAAUAUGACCUGAAGGCUAACCUACGCUGGGGUUCACUAACAAGGCUGUUCGGGGGAGCGUAUGAUUGAUAGUGGCUGCGGCAGCUUUCCAUCUACUCCAUAUAACCCAACGGCUCCCCCAUUCUAAAAUAAGGGUGACUCAACUAUAGGUCGUGUACACACGUGUACUACAGACUUGUUGCAGAAAGAAUGACUCGGGUUAUGCACAUGACGUCAUAUAUAAAAAAGUAACAUAUUAAAUAAAAACUGUAAACAAAGAGCACGUAGGCACUCACCAAUGAUAAACAAUAACACAAAAUAACACAAACAAAAUGUCUAUACACCUAUAAUGCCAAACUAAGACGAUACAACUCCAAAAUAAGCUUGAAUUCUAAAAAGUGCUCCCCAGCGUAGUCGCCAGAGCUGUCACACCCUUUAUAAACUCCAAAAAAGAUUCAUUUUAAGUUCGAAAGGGUUUUUAUUAUCAACGUGACAAAAGAUGAAAAAAAUUUCAAAAAGAAUUCACUUUACAAUUAACUCAGAGUCGCCACUUGGCUUAAUCCGGUGUGCCAAGUCACAUUUAAAAAGUCCUUUUUAAAAUGAUUUGACUUUUUAAAACUGAUUUGUGAACAGAGAUUCCAGCUAAGAAAUUCUGUUGAUCGAGGGGAAGGUGUUAGGCACCCCUCGGUCCCGUGGUUCAACCACGAUCGCUUAGUAGAGCGUAUCGGCUAAUUUGACAUUAUAAAUGUAUAAAACACACAAAACAAACAAAAAACAAUAAAACAAACAAAGAAAACAAAACGAACCAAAAAUACAGUGUCCAGUCCAAUUUAUACAGUCCAAAUAGAAAAAUGCAAAAAAUAAAUCCUAUCUAACCUAUACUAAUUCCAACUUCGCUCUCGUGCAUUACCCGAUGCCUCGGGCCUUCAUCACAAAUGUUCUCAGGGUACAUAAUACUUUGGGACAUUUCCCGAUGAAUGAACAUAAAUAGCUUGGGGUAUUCCCCGGCCAAAUGAUACAUUCAAUCCCGAAAUCAAUAAAACCAAACCGUUCAACACGUAUUUCAAGCAUUCAAUAAUUCAACGAGCAAAACUUAUUCCUAAAUCUUUGCCUACCAGAGCCUACUUUUGCCUAUUCAUUUGGCCUACCAUGAUACUAUCAUGUCAAUGAUAUUCAAUGAAUCAAAAUAAAUUAACGCUUAUUUUUUUAUCAAUUUCAAUUCCUACCCCCUCCUAAAAUAGUUUCCUUUUCAAUCAAUCAAUGAUUAACAGAUCUUUUAGUUUAACACCUCUUCAAAAUUCAGAACCAACAUCCAUACAUCAACCAACAAAAAUUCAAACAUAUGAAUCAUUCAUACCCAUCACAAUAGUUAAUACCACUAAAAAUCUCAAGAAAUCACGCCAAGGCCAUAUUCGAAAUAAUAAAGAGAUAGAGUUGAGAAAAUGGACCUUCAAAGAUUACGAUGAUAUCAAUGUUUAAGAAAACCAAACCCGAAAGAUAAAAUAGAAACUCUCAAUAGAGAUAAGAUCAUAACACGAAUCGAUAAACAGCAGUCCGAAAUUGACCACAAUAACCUGACUAAGACCCAAAAUAGAAAUCCCAACCCGAUCGAUGACAUGAUUUGAUCACAAAAAAACCUCUAAGACUGUCACUGACGAUGAACAACAAACGUAGACAAACCUAAAAAAAAACUCCCAACGACACGACAAAAAUCGAGAUCCAAGAGAUUUCGGCGAAGUAGUCGCUGGAACAGUGACCAAACCUGCAAAACCCUUUUCCGAAUAACUUCGAAUCUACCCUUUUUUCUUCCUUAUUAUAGAUCGACCCUCAAAUCCCUCUCUUGCGUGCGAGUCACUCAAUAUUUUCCCUCAAACUCUCCACUACCUGAUUGUCUAUUCCAGUCGUGUAUUCUGUGUGCGUGAGUGAGUGUGAAUCAGUGAGGUGUAGUAUAUGAGAGUGUGUGUGUGUGAGUUACUGUGUAAAAGAAAAGAAGGCCCAAAAAAUAAAGUCUGUCAGUGUUUUUUUAAUGGAGAAGAUCAUGUUCUUGGUAUGUUAUGUGUAGAUGAUGAUAAGAGCAAGAACUAGAAAAAUUGUGAGGCCUUCCUCCCCUUUUCUCUCAUGCACUGUGUGUGUAUACAUUUCAAAGGAAAGAAAAAUAUUUUUGGAGACUUGUGGGUCCAUCCCCCUAGGUAAUUUCCUGGAAAAUUCCCUGGGUCCUUUCUUUGUUGACAAGCAAAAUAAAAAAGGAGGGAGGGGUCACGUGAGGUGGGGGUAGGAGGGGUAGGGGUUAGGAUAUGUGACCGUGUGGCCACUGUGUUAUUUGAUUUUGGUUCUACUUUGUCAUAUGUAUCUAUCAAUUUUGUUGUGGAUUUGGACAAGGUGUGUGUCUACUUGACUUUUCUAUUCACGUGCCCACUCCUGUGAGUGAUUCUCUUGUUGUUGAUAGGAUUCAUCAUUCUAGUUCUGUUAUGUUAUGGGGUAUCAAACUUGGGCAGAUUUUGUGAUUCUAGACAUGAUAGAUUUUGAUAUAAUUUUGGGUAUGAGUUGAUUAUCUAUAUAUCAUGCUAUGCUGCAUAGUCAUGCUAAGAUAGUGACUGUAGCUAUGCCGAAAAUGGAUAGACUUAAGUGGGAGGGUGAUUAUAGUCCUACUCCAAUGAAACUUAUUUCUUUCUGCGUGCAAAGAGGUUAAUUGGAAGAGGUUGUUUGACCUUCCUAGCAUAUCUUCGGGACACUUCCAUAGAGGUCCCAUCUAUUGAGUUAGUUUCUAUGGUGUGUGAGUUCCAAGAGGUUUUUCCUGAAGAUCUGCCUGGUAUGCCUCCAGGCUUUGACAUUGAUUUUUGUAUUGAUCUAGACCCAGAUACUCGUCCUAUUUCUAUUCCUUCCUAUAGGAUGUCUCCAGCUGAGUUAAGGGAGCUAAAGGCUUAGCUGCAGGAUUUAUUGAGUAAGGGUUUUAUUUGUUCGAUUGCCUCUCCAUGGGGUGGUCCUGUCUUGUUUGUGAAGAAGAACGAUGGUAGUCUUCUUAUGUGUAUAGACUAUAGGUAGAUGCACAAGUUAUAUUCCAUAAUAGGUAUCCUUUACCCUAUAUCAGUGAUUAUUUAACAAGUUAUAGGGUGCAUCUGUAUUUUCUAAGAUUGAUUUGAGCUCCGGGUAUCAUUAGCUUAAGAUCGAGUCUGCCGAUAUUUCUAAGCCUGUUUUCAAACCCGGUAUGGGCACUUUGAGUUUUUUGUGAUGUCUUUUGGGUUGACUAAUGCCCCAACUACCUUUAUGAGUUUGAUGAAGGGGAUAUUUAAACCUUACUUGAAUUUUUUCAUGAUUGUAUUUAUUGAUGAUAUUAUGGUUUAUUAUAGAGUAAAAAGGAACUUGAGAAUCACUUAAGGAUUGUUUGGGUUGUUAGAAGAGAAAAAGCUUGAUGCGAAGUUUUCUAAGUGCAGGUUCUAGUAGGUUUCUUUCUACUGUUCUUCAUAGAUAAUGUGUGAUAUAUAUUGUGUAUGGAUAUGGAUGUUAGGCUUGAUUAUGAGUAGGAUGACUUGGCCUCGAUUGUUAAUAUUUGGAGUUUAUACGCUGGCUUGGGACCCGUAAAAUGUCAUGUUUAUACCCUUUCUAAAUUCUAUUGCUUUUCCUCUCUAGUUUAAAUUAGUUGUAGCUUAGUUAUGAUGUAAACCUAUGUUUGGGAUGUGGUUUUAGUAUUUGAAGCAUGAUUUGUAUAUUUAGCCUUAUAGGGCUAGUUUGAUAGUCUUGAAAUCAUAAGUUGCAUAGAGUUGACUUGAGUACCCUUGUUUCUAGUCAAAGUUGCUAGCUUGAAUAUGGCUUACUUGACAUCUAGAAGAUAAAAUUGAUACCUUAGCCUAGUUUGGGGCAUAGUUUUCCUAAUUAUGGAAAGUGAGGUUUAGAAGUGGGAUCGUCUGGCCCAUUUAGGCCUAAACUUAUGUUAAGUAUUAUGGACUUAAUUGCGGAUGUUAGACAUAGAUGAGGGUAGUAAACCUUAGAACAAGGUUACUUGAUAACUUGGUAACUUUUAUUGAUGUUCCCAGAUUGUGGCUUUUGAGUUAUAGUUAUGAUACUUCCUAUGGAUGUGAUAUUGGGCAUUUAGAGAUGCUAUUUCCUCUUAGACUUGAUGAUUGACCCAUAGAGUUGCUAUUUUCUUUAGUCAUGAUUAUUGGACCACUAGAGACAAUGUUCCUCUUAGAUAUGCAAAUUGGCCGAGAGAGGUGAUAUUCCUCAUAGUCAUGAUGUAUGUGACCUAUCGAUAUAAGAUAUCCUAUAGACGAUUACAUGUGUCAUCUAUAUUAUACCUCCAAUAUGUGAGAUACUUUCUAUAUGUGAGACUAUUAGAGAUAUGCUAUGGCUUAUAAAUAUGAUUAUCGAUAUGAGUUUUGGAUAUGUAUAUGGGCCUAAGGCCGUGAUUAUAAUGUUGUGACUAUCCGAAUAAAUUAAUGGGACAAGAACUGGGUUAUGAUAAUGAUUGAAUAUCCGAGGAAUGUUUACCAAUGUAAAUGAUAGGACUACAGUUUAUGAAUACAUAUAUUUUUGUAUACACAUAUCUUUGGUAUGGGAUGGUGGAAUAUACAGUAUGUUAAUUACGACUUUAUUGAUUGUAUACUGGUUAUGGCAUGCAUAGAUUUGGUACAUUCAUGAUUAUUAUUUCGGUAAUUGAUGUGAUUGUAACUGAAAUAUGAUCUUACAAUUGUUCUGCCUAAUUAACGGCUAAGCUAUGUGGGAACUAGUUGUCUAUUAGGGGACUAUUGCUCUUGAUGGCUAGGAAUCUAAUGUAUUAGUUAAUGAAUCUUGCUUAAUUGAAACAUGGUAGCUAGAGAUGGUUAAUGCGUGACUUAUAGUGGGUCGGGUCUAGCAGAGGUGAAAAUUAGUUGGUAUUGAUAACUAAGUUUGUGAUAUUGAUUAGUCGAUAAACAAGGUGUUGUGUGUUAAUGAGGCAAGAUGAUAAGAGAUGUUGGUAAUAAGAGGUGACUAGUUAAUAACUUUGAAUAGUUACUAAAUGGUUAACUAAUUAAUAGUUAAGCAAGGAUUGUUGGUAAACGAUAAUUAGAUAAUGAAUAGUGUCAGUUAAUAAAAGAUAGUUAGGUGACAAGUAGUAAUGCAUUGUCUUGUAAUGAUUACUGGAUAUAGGAUGAUUAGUAGAUAAUAAUGAAUGAUGGAUAAAUGAAGAUUUUGGUCUAGUGAUGAACCUUGACUAGAUGUUAGAUGCUGGCUAUUAAAUAAGUAGUGGUUAGUUGCUAUCCCAUGAACAAGGAUAACGUGGAGGAUAAUGUUUAGUCUAAUAACUAGAGGUUAUGUGAUGACUAGAUAAUGUUUAUAGGCGCGUCUUUUGGUUAUGCAAUGACUAGCGAACUAGUGAUUCUAUUAUAAUGAGUAUUGGUUAGCUAAUAACGAGUAGUUGAGAAGUAUUGACUAGAUAGAUAUUCUAUGAUGAUAUGACUAUUUUUAUGAGUAUUUUAGUGUAUAUUAUUUGGUAAUGACUAUUAUGAUGAUAUGUUGAUUACCGAAAAGGCUGGAGGACACUAUUAUGAUAAUAUGUUGAUACCUGUCAAGGCCAGAGAAUACUAUUGUGACGAUAUUGAUAUCCGACAAGACCGGAGGACACUGUUGUGAUGAUGUUGAUACCUAGAAAGGCUGAAGAAUACUAUUGAUGAUGUGUUGAUAUUCGGCAAAGUCGGAGGUUGAUUACGAUGAUGAUGGUCCUGAUGAAGAUAGUUAUGAUGAGUUGUGAUACUGGUUGUGUACUUUGCCUUUAUUCCUACAUGUGCAUCGCAUAUCACUAGUAUGCACCUAUAUUUAUCAGCCGGUAUAGGAUGGUUGCAUAUAUAUGAGUGAAGAAUAUUUCUUGUGUUUUUGUAUACUAAUUAAACCUUUUGAGUCUGGGGCGGUGGGGGUACGCAUAGGCUCGGCUAAAUAUUUGGUUGUCCGUAAGUUGAGUGCUAAGGAGAUUGCAUCUGUGAAGGUCCAGAAGAAGAAUCUUCCUAUUGAGGAGGUCACUUUUUGCUGAUUCAAGUAAUUCCUUAGUACUUUCCUUGUCGCUUGUUUGUCAUUAGGGGACAAACGAUUGUUUAAUUAGUAUCUGAUGUAACGACCCUCCCGGUCGUUUGUGAAAUACUUACAUCUUUCUUAUUAGCUCUUCUUUUAGUUUCUAUACGUAAUUUAUGACUUACAGAGAUAGAUAGUACCGAUUCUUGAUGUGUUCCAGGUGAUUAAGUCCUUUGUUGAGUAUUUUAGAUAAUUAAUUUAAUUAGUGAUUUAAUGAGUUCAAAACUCAUAAUUUAACUACUUAUGGGGUCAACACAAAAAAUAAAUUUAAGUUAGAAGGGUUUAUCGGGUAUAAUAAUAGAAGCAAAUGGUCACAAGAAAGAACGGUUAGCAACCAUAUUUCGUAUUCACCGCUUUAAAGAAAAUCUGUGACCUCUUACAGGUUUGUUUUCUAAUAUCUUUAGAAUUUGAUUUGAAACUAGUAAAUAAAUGUUGUGUAGUGAUUUCCUGUAAUUAUUGGCGUAGUUGACCAACAAAAGUAAUAUUAAAAUAGUAAUAUGAGAGAUAUGAGAUAUUCUUCAUAUUUGUGCUUUUAUAUGGAUUGGGAUAAAUCAGUGGAAACAAAUUUAUAUUAGGAUAGAUGGUCAUGUUUUAAUGAUGAUAUAUGGGUUUUUGGUGCUUGCAGUGUCAUGAUAGAACUAUUUUGUUCUUGGCAUCAGCAGCGUGCCUCGGAGAUUUGGAACUAACAAUUGUUACUUUUGACAGUAACAAUAUAGUAAUAAUAAUGUCAUAAUAAUAUUGAGGUUUAAGCGUAGAACAACGUUGUGUUUUAUAUGGAUGGAUUAUAUAAUUUGACAUGUUAUCAAAGUAUAUAUGUUUUGGGUUAUGAUUAUAUAUAUGUGAUCUAUUGAUAAAUUAUUCUGCACUAGCUAUUUGGUAUCAUUUUAUUUUAAUGGGAAUAAUCUUCUUACUAUUUUGUUAGUAGAUAAGACUAGAAUGAAUAUUUUAUUUUGCUAAACAAUUCGUUCAUGGCUAUUUGAUUGGAUUGGACUCGAUAUUCCCUUUUUGGCUAUUUGAUUUACUCAAUAUUGGCCAUUGAAUCAACAUAUUAUAUUCUUUACUCUCUAAAUCAACAGGAGCUACUGUUUUGAUUAUUUCUUUAGGUCUUAAGGGUAAAAACGUGUAAAAUAUGUGUCACUAGAUUCGUACUCUUAUUGGUAUUACAAUUUGAACAACUUUGAAAUAUUCAGAAGCUUUACAGAGUGGCAAGACCCUCGCACAGUAGCUUGCUUUCGAGUUCUUCGAUUGAGGUAGGUUAAGAUUUAAUUUGAGUUUAGACUCGACUUAAUUGUGUGUAUGCUCCUAAAUUAGAUACUUGUUGAUUGAUAUUCGGAUAUGCUUGAAAUUGUUGAUAUUUGGACUAUUGAUUCAUGUAUAAAUGAUUAUUAAAAAUUUACUUGAUGAAAUUGUCUUAUGACUUUAAGUUUACUUGUAAACUUGGUACAUUGUGUUGUAUGUUGUGAGGUAGUUUAAAUUUGAUAUUGAUAUUACUUUUUUAUAUGUUGGAUCGGGUACCACGCCGGUACGGAUAUGUAUAUGUUGGAUUGGGUACCACGCCUGUAUGGAUAUAUAUAUGUUGGAUCGGGUACCACGCCGGUACAGAUAUGUAUAUGUUGGAUCGGGUACCAUGCCGGUACGGAUAUAUAUAUGUUUGAUCGGGUACCACACUGGUAUGAAUGUUUAUAUGUUGGAAGGGGUACCACGCUGGUACGGAUAUUUAUAUGUUGGAUUGGGUACCACGCCGGUACGGAUAUUUAUAUGUUGGAUCGGAUACCAUGCCGGUACGGAUAUGUAUAUGUUGGAUCGGGUACCACACCGGUAAAGAUAUUUAUAUGUUGGGUCGGGUACCACGCCGGUACGUAUAUGUAUAUGUUGGAUCGGGUAGGUACCACGCCAAUAUGAAUAUUUAUAUGUUGGAUCGGGUACCGCGCCGGUACAGAUAUAUAUAUGUUAGAUCGAGUACCACGUCGGUACAGAUAUAUAUAUGUUAGAUCGGGUACCACGCCGGUACGGUACGUGAACAUCGAUUGUUCGCUGCAGGUCAUGACUAUUUGGGCAAAAAUAAGUCUCAUAGCAUGUGUGUAUGUAUUUAUGUUGAUUCUGUGGAUGUUUACAGUAUGGUUUAUAAUCUUGAUGGUUAUGUGGCUUAUUUGUGAGCACUUUUUGACCUGUUGUUGUUGUUGUAUUGUUGAUUCAUUGAAUAUUUGUUAUGUGAUGAUGCCUGUCUACUUGUUAUCUGAUUUAUGUUGUGUACAUGCUAUUAAAUUGAGUUGGCCUAUGAUACCUACCGGUACAUAGUGGUUUGUACUGAUACUACCCUGUACUCUUCUUUUGUUGAGUGCAAAAAGUGUUCUAGAGGCUCAAACAUGACCUUACCUCUAGAGUUUGAUAGCAGAUCUUGAUCCAAGGGUGAGCACUCCAUCUCUAGGCUUCCAUGGGUCAUCCUAUUUGUUCUUGUCCAUCUUUCGGGCAAUGAAAUAUUAUUUAUUUACUUUAUUUUUGGACAUCCCAUUGGACAUGAUCUUUGUUAGUAGUUCUUGUACGAUGACUUUCAGGUCUUGGGGAUUUUAGUAAGUAGUUUGUUUGAAUUCCGCAUUAACAGUGAUUAGUCCUGAAUUAUUGUUAUUAUGUUGAUUUUAUAAUAAUAUUAUCUUAAUAUUGAUUAAGUGAUUGGAUAAUGGUUCGAUUUAGAUGGUUCUCCCCAGGAAGAUUAGUGUGGGUGCCACUCAUGGCCAUUUGGGUCGUGAAAAUCUUUGCAUUAUUCACAGUUGCAAGUAGUGUGAUUAGGUUUGACACCCACGAAAGCUUUUGAUGAAAAUUGGGAAAAAAAUUAAAAGUAAUUCAUGUUAUAUGGAACUUCACUUUAGGACCCUCUUAGAAAACGAGACGUUAUUUUUCUGAAAUAUGGAAUCUUUCUUUAUCAUAAUCUUUUUGAGAUAAUUUUUGUUCUAGUUUUGAUUUUGAUUUCUGGAGUCCGCCUGGAGAACAGGGUGAUGAAAUUGCAAGUCGGGAGCUCGCCCAAAGAAUAGGGUGAUGAAAUUGAAAUUCGAGAGCUCGCUCGGAGAAUAGAGUGAGGAAAUUGCAAGUCAAAAGCCGGCCUAAAGAAUAGGGUGAUAAAAUUGAAAGACGGGAGGUCGCUCGGAGAAUGGAGUGACAAAAUUGCAAGUCGGGAGUCCGCUCGAAAAAUAGGGGGAUGAAAUUGAAAUUCGGGAGCUCGACCGGACAACAAAGUAAGGAAAUUGGAAGUCGGGAACCCGCCCGAAGAAUAGGGUGAUGAAAUUGAAAGUUGGGAGCUCGCCCGAAGAAUAGAGUAAAAAAAUUUCAAGUCGGAAGCGCACAUGAAAAAUAGGGUUAUGAAAUUGAAAGUCGAGAGCUCACCCUAAGAACAGAGUGAGGAAAUCGCAAGUCGGGAGCCCGUCUGAAGAAUAGAGUCAUGAAAUUAAAAGUUGGGAGCUCACCCAAAGAACAGAGUGAGAAAAUUGCAAGUCGGAAGCCCACCCAAAGAAUAGGGUGAUGAAAUUGAAAGUCGGGAGCCCGCCCGAAGAACCUGGUGAAGAAAUUGAAAGUUAAGCAACAAGGUGAAACAAUUGAAAGUUAAGCAACAAGUUUAAGAGAUUGAACGUCUAGCAACAAGGUGAAGCAAUUGAAAGGCAAUAAAGUGAGGAAAUUACAAGUCGGGAGCUCACCCGAAGAACAGGGCGGUGAAAUUGAAAAAUCAAAAGAUCAAAAAUAGCAAGUCAGGAGUCCGCCUGGAGAACAAGGUAAUGAAAUUGAAAUUCAAGCAACAAGGUGAAAAAAUUGUAAGUCAGGAGCCCGCCUGGAGAAUAGGUUGAAGAUUUUAAAUUCAAGAUCAAGGUUCAGAAGUACCACCGACAGAACAUGGUCAAUUUAUGAGUUCAUCUCCAACAUCAGAUUUUGUAUGGAGAAAGAAUCUGUUCUCAAGUUCAAUCCAAAGAAGAUCGGGUCUUUUCUCAAUUCUGAAAGCAUCAGAAACUCAAGUCAAGAGUCCAAAAGAAGCUGCAUAGAUAGUACUUUUGUAAUUUCAUUUAUCUAUUUAACUUGUAAUUUUCAUUUUUGAUGUAAUGACAGAGCCACAGAUCGAAACCUCGACAGGACCUCACUCGACUCUCCAACUCGAUAUAGUCCUUUUUCUUUCCUAGCCAUUGAGAUACCUGUGACUCGAUGCCCUCAUAAUCUGGGUAAGUAGGAUGUCCAAGAUCAAAACUUGAUUGCCCUUCUUCCUUUUGAAUAAUGCUUGGGACAAAAGUUUGUCUCGUUGUCUACUUCAUUGUCUGAAAACACUUUGUGUUUACAUCUAAAGGGGGCAUACUGUAGACACGUAAUUUUAUCCCUCCAAAAAUUAUUUUAACCAUUUUCUCCGUUUUACCACGCACCCC
rnacentral:lncRNA from 1 species